UAAUGAUCAAAAUUCUGCAAACAUUCCACCAUCUUUGCAGUUUCAUGAUAGGGUAAAUGAUAAUAAGCAUUCUUCCAUUGUUUCUCCAUCAUCUCACUCUUAUACACCUGGAGUUUAUCCUUCCCAAGACUACCAUCCUCCUCCAUCUUCCCAGGAUUAUCAUCACCCACCACCUUCCCAAGAAUACCAUCCUCCUCCACCUUCCCAAGAUUACCAUCCUCCGCCACCUUCCCAGGAUUAUCCUCCUCCACCUUCCCAGGAUUACCAUCCUCCUCCACCUUCUCAAGAUUAUCAACCCCCUCCACCUUCCCAAGAUUACCAUCAGCCUCCACCUGCAAGAUCAGACAGUUCUUAUUCCGAGCCCUACAACCACCAACAAUACUCACCAGAUCAGUCACAGAAUUUAGGUCCCAAUUACCCUUCUCACGAAACUCCCCCUCCUUACUCUCUUCCCCAUUUUCAAUCUUAUCCAA
rnacentral:lncRNA from 1 species